rnacentral:rRNA from 1 species
AGACCGGCUUACUGGUCGUGCUUUUGUACGUACUGGUAUAAUCGGUUUCUCCUUUCUGACGAACUAUAAUGCCAUUAAUUUGGUGUUUUAGGGAAUCAGGACUGUUACUUUGAAAAAAUUAGAGUGUUUAAAGCAGGCUCACGCUUGAAUACAUUAGCAUGGAAUAACGGAAUAGGACGUUUGAUUCUAUUUUGUUGGUUUCUAGGAUCGACGUA